UUUAUUAUUGUCUUCCAAACUUAGGUCAUUUAUAUAACUAUUAGUAUUUAUAUUUUGUGAUAUUUCAGAUAGCCAAACCAAAUGGAUAUGUCUAUAAAAAUUCCAUUUUAUUCGAUCUAGGACACAUCGCCAUCGCCACUUCGCCAUCGCUACUUCAUCGUAAAACCAUUUCGCCAUUGCCAUUUCGACGUAAAGCCAAUACGUUGAAAAAAAAUUCACUUAUAGAAAACAUGCACUCGUAAAUAUUUAAUAAUAAAUUUAAAAGCUAUAUUUUGAUCAUUAUAAUAGUACCGUGCUUACAUAACAUUUGUCAAUAUUUAAUAAAAAUAAUUAAUUUAAAAUAUUUCUUUGGCUAGUAUAACGUAAACUUACGUAAAAAGAGGAGGUGCAAUCUUAAAUGUUCCGUCACAAAACCAUAUUUUUGAUCGUUCUAAAAUUUCUAAGCUGCUUAAUCUACCAAAAAUUAAAAUUCUAUCCUAAAGACCUGACCCAGUGUCAUCGAGUAAAAAUGUCUCAUUCACACCUUCAGAUGGUGAAUAAAUUGUAUUAGCUUCUGGAAUUAUCAAAAAAUUAAAUCUUUAGGCGCAGAGGGAGCUUUAACAAUUUGUUGACGUAAACGCCUGAUUUUUUUUCUUUAAUGCACAGGCGGAUGUGAGUGUACCCUAAAAAACAUUAUAAUAUUUUUUUUUAGAUAUUACCUUUUAGCAUAACUGUCGCAAAAAUAUUAAAACGCUUACUUUAGCUGCUUGUGAAAGCCCAGUCGUACAUUCGUUCAAUACUAUUGAUGUAGAUUCUAGCGUUUGUUGGGAUCAAAUUUUAAUUUUAGUCACAGCAACUUCUACAUCAACUGCUGCGGCAUCUGAGUCAUGAGAGUGCUCAUUGAUUCGUUUUAACACAGUCAAGUUCAUCUGCAUCUAUAUUUGUGCGAAUUCUAAAUUUACAUAUGUUUCUUUUUCUACAUCGCCAAAAUUGUUUUUUCUUGUCUGCACUAAACGCAUCGAAUAUGAACAUAAAACCAUUAUCUACGAAAACAUCACACCAACGAAUAGUUUCUACAACUGCCAUUUUGGUACUGACAGCAAACAUAAAUUCUAUAAUGCACAGCCUAAUAUGAGCUAAGAAAUACCUGUUAUUAAAUUAUUAUCUUAUGUACCUAUGUUCGUUUAUCGCUAAACGGUCUAAACACUUAUCGUCACCGGAUACCUAUGGGAACAUAAUAAACUAUUUUUACCAUAGCCAUAGCAAAUUAAUGUUAUGUAGGUACUUAUAAUGAUCAAAAUAUAUCUUUUAAAUCAAUUAUUAUUAUUACAGUAAAUAUAGUAUUUUUUAAUGGCGAUGGCGAAAUGGUUUUACGGCGUAACGCCGACGGUCAUUUGUCCGUGUUCGCAUUUUAUUGCACUAUCUUUACAUGUACAUGAAAAACAAUGAAUACAAGUUUUGCAUUCAUCACAAACAAUUUGGCAAUCACAGGAGUUUUUCAAUUUAUUUACAGUGUGCAUAUCAUCAUGACCACUUGCCAUCACAUUCCAACAAUCUUCUCCAUUUUUAAGCACAUUAUUAGUUGACAUUUCUAGACUAUUCUUGUGCCUUUUGCUUAAUUCUUUAAUUUUAGAAAGUUCGGUGCAUUCUUUCGAUAUACAUAUUAGUAUUUAUUCUUGCGUGAGGACGAUGACAGUAAGCCCAAGAUUCAAGACAUGUACCAUAGUUAUAAACAGAAUAAUUAGCAAAAUCAACAGUGUCAUCAUUAGCCGACAAUUGGUUUAUAGCUUCUUCAAAAAUGAUUUCAAAGGCUUUUGUAUUUUGUUCGUGAAGUAAAGUCCUCAAAAGUUUGCGCGAUCAACAUGCCAAGUGCAGUAUAAUCUAUGUUUUGGACGUUUCAUUUCAACAAUAUAUGUAUUGAAAAAAUUUCAGCCGUAUCGGACAUGAAUACAUCGGGCUGCAAUUAUCCUGUUAAUUAUUUUAUUUUAGAAUAAAAUUGUUAGUACUGCCUCAUCGAUACGAUUACAAAUCAAAAGUACAUGUAAAACCUUCUCUCAUAUCGUCAAGUACUAAGAGUGUUGUUAAAUUAAAGUGAUAGGAAUUCAUAACAUGAGUUUCAUCUAUACCAAUUACAUUAUGUCCAUAUUUUUCCAACAUAGACUGUCGAUGAUUAUUAAUUAUAAUUAUAAGAAAUCAUAUUUUUUUAAGUUAAAAAAUUGUUGAUCUAACUCAUCUUGUUGCUUAUAGUAUAUAAGGCUAAAUAUGUCAUCUUUUUUUAAAUGUUGAACCCAACUUUCAACACUUUUUGCAUCAUUUGCAUGUAGUAUAGCUUUAUUAUUUAGAUUAUAAGAUGUUUGAAUAUUAUUAUGUAAAUCUUUCUUUGUUAAGAGAUGUAUUCUUUCUAAUGAAUUAUUUGAAACAUCACAAAUUUUAUUUAAAAUAUGUUCAAAAGGUAUAUUCUGAGACAUCUUACUCGCUAUGUUAACUCAAACAUCCUUAUUUAAUGGUAAAUUACCUAAAUCAUUAUCGUGGCCUGUAUGAUAUGCGAUAAAUUUAACUGUACAUUUUUACUCAAUUUACAUAUUGUAAUAUCAAUACAAGAUGGGCAGUAUCCAUUAAUUUUAUUUGAAACUUGUGUUUUUAAAUGCCUCAGACCUGUACCUUUUGAAAUAUAAUUUCCAUUUCUAUGGCAUUCAUAGUAUAUAAAUGUUUUAUUACUAUGAUCAUUACUAAUAGAUCCACAAUUUUUUAUGUAACAUGAUUUGAUUUUAUGUUCAAUUUCAUUUUUCCAUAAAUUAAAAUUUUCAAUAUUUAUUUGAAAAUAUUGAAACUUUUAAACAAGGCAUUCUAUCAGAUACUUAAAAUCAGGUUUAUCUAUAUCAAUUGAAUGGGCAAUUAAUUUAUGUUCAUUGAGAUUUUUGAUGGGGCAAAAUGAUUUGUCAUAUUUGUUACAUGAAAACACAUAUACUGAAUACAUUUACUUAAUUUAAUUAAUUCUAAAAUUAAUACCCUGAACACCACAAAUCAUGAGCUUUUUUAUCUUAUGCAUUUUGACAUAAACUUUAUCUUAAAUUGUCCUGCUAAUCUAUUAAUGAUUGCAGGUAAUAGUUAUUCUUUGGAUUUUAUCUAGUCAAGUUUAUUAUUAUAUUAUC
rnacentral:lncRNA from 1 species